CAUUCUUAAAAUGUGGUGAUGUCUACAGUGGAACACAGUGCCCCGGCUCUGGUCUGAGCAGGAAAGACAGGAGAGCCUAAUCUUGCACUAUAUUAAGGGUCCAAUCCAAUGAAAUUGAACUGAAUGGAAUCAGGGGAGGGGUGCGCGCUCCUAACUUCUUGAAAUUUCAUGUCUGCUUCUUGCUUUAUAAUCACUGCUGAAGUCCCUUUGAAGAUUGGGCAUUUGCUUCAAUUUUGCUCUAAACCUCUGACCUUUAAAGCCAUAAAAAAGAGGGCCCUGUUUUCAACUUUUCAAAAUGUAUUUUGAAUGUACUGAACAGUUUAAAAAAAGACUUUCAACUCAGGGCCCAGCAUGCCCAGCAGUGGGCUGAUAGGGGCCAGCUUUAGUGUGGAGGCUGGUCGCUACCUCACAUUCUACGUAUGUCUUUUCUUCAAGCUCUCUUUUGGAAUUUCACUGGGCAUUUCAGAGCACAACUCAAAUCUAACUCUUCCCAUCUGCACGUGAAAGGGCUCCAUUUCCCAUUUAAGUCCUGAAGAAAACAAUUUCACAUGUGACAGGAUCAAAGAGUCAUGGAUUUAUCACUGGAAGGGAUCUAAGCGGCAAUCUAGUCCAACUUAUUUAUUUUAGCAGAAGCCCAGAGAGAUUCUGACUUGACCAAGAAUACACAUGUUAAGUGACAAAGGCAGGAUUUGAACCAAGAUUUGAACCAAUGUUCUUUCCAUUUAUUUCACCCCCUAGACAGAAGAACAAAAACAUUCCCAUUCAAGACCUCGGUGACCCUGGAUCUGUCAUUUCAAUUUUCUGGAUCUGUUUCCUCACCUUUAAAAUGAGGAUAAUGAUGCCCCUGGUGCCCACUUCACAGGGUUCUUACCUGGAAAUGCUGCCAUUUGCCACUUUGUCAAAUUUGAAAUGCCAACCAAAAAUGUUUCUUCAAAAAGAAGUUAAAGAAGUGGACUAGCUGAAUUUUGGAAGCCCCCCCCCCCCCUCCUCUUCUAGUCUUCUUUUUUUUUUUAACCCUUACCUUCUGUCUUGGAAUCAAUACUGUGUAUUGGUUCCAAGGUGGAAGAAUGGUAAAAGCCAGGCAAUGGGAGUUAAGUGACUUGCCCAGGGUCACACAGCUAGGAAGUGUCUGAGGUCAGAUUUGAACCCAAGACUUCCCAUCUCUAAGCCUGGCUUUCAAUCCACUGAGCUACCCAGCCGCCCCCUCGAGUCUUCUUCUUGCCAAAGGGAUAAAUGUUGUUUGGAACUCUCUGUGGGAAAAUGAAUAUGAACUUUAUUUACAACUCUGAGAUUCUAAGAAGUAUAGAACCAUGAAAGAGCCUGAAUAGAGAAUAGACU
rnacentral:lncRNA from 1 species